GAUUUACAUAUAUUUUUGAAGACUUUAUAAGAGUUAUAAGGAUUUUAAAAACUCUUGUAUAUGAUUUUAAAACCUUUUACAGUGGUUUUAAAAAGACUUACGAGGAUUUAAUGGAUGACGGUAACACGACGAUGAAAAAUUUAAAUCGACAUUACCAAGUUUUAAAAAUUUAUAU
rnacentral:sRNA from 1 species